GAUGAAGAACGCAGCGAAAUGCGAUACGUAAUGUGAAUUGCAGAAUUCAGUGAAUCAUCGAGUCUUUGAACGCACAUUGCGCCCCCUGGUAUUCCGGGGGGCAUGCCUGUCCGAGCGUCAUUGCUGCCCUCAAGCACGGCUUGUGUGUUGGGCCUCCGUCCUCCUCCCGGGGGACGGGCCCGAAAGGCAGCGGCGGCACCGCGUCCGGUCCUCGAGCGUAUGGGGCUUCGUCACCCGCUCUUGUAGGCCCGGCCGGCGCUUGCCGACACAUCAAUCUUUUUUCCAGGUUGACCUCGGAUCAGGUAGGGAUACCCGUUGAACUUAAGCAUAUCAAUAAGCGGAGGA
rnacentral:misc_RNA from 1 species